ensembl:snRNA U6 U6 spliceosomal RNA
GUGCUUGCUUCAGGAGUACAUAUACUAAAAUUGAAAUGAUACAGAGAAGAUUAGUAUGACCCCUGCAUAAGGAUGACAUGCAAAUUCAUGAAGCAUUACAUAUUUUU